rnacentral:rRNA from 1 species
AUUGAACGCUGGCGGCAGGCCUAACACAUGCAAGUCGAGCGGAGCGGCGGACGGGUGAGUACUGCCUAGGAAUCUGCCUGGUAGUGGGGGAUAACGUCCGGAAACGGGCGCUAAUACCGCAUACUAUCAGAUGAGCCUAGGUCGUAUUAGCUAGUUGGUGGGGUAAAGGCCUACCCAGGCGACGAUCCGUAACUGCUCUGAGAGGAUGAUCAGUCACACUGGAACUGAGACACGGUCCAGAGUCCUACGGGAGGCAGCAGUGGGGAAUAUGGGACAAUGGGCGAAAGCCUGAGCCAGCCAUGCCGCGUGUGUGAAGAAGGUUUUCGGAUUGUAAAGCACUGUAAGUUGGGAGGCGUUACCAACAGAAUAAGCACCGGCUAACUUCGUGCCAGCAGCCGCGGUAAUUC